AAUGAACGUUGGCGACGUGGAUUAGGCAUGCAAGUCGUACGAGAAUCGUAGCAAUACGAGGAAAGCGGCGGAAGGGAGAGGAUUACGUGGGAAUCUACGCCCAGAACUGGGAUAGCGGCGGGAAACUGCCGGUAAUACCAGAUAAUGUCUGUGGACCAAAGGUGUGAUUCCGUCUGGGGAUGAGCCCACGUCCUAUUAGCUUGUUGGCAGGGUAAUGGCCUACCAAGGCAAGGAUGGGUAGCGGGGGUGAGAGCAUGACCCGCCUCACUGGGACUGAGAACUGCCCAGACACCUACGGGUGGCUGCAGUCGAGAAUCUUCGGCAAUGAGCGCAAGCUUGACCGAGCGACGCCGCGUGCAGGAUGAAGGCCUUCGGGUUGUAAACCGCUGUCGUAGGGGAGCAAGAGAUGAGGGUACUCCCUCUGAUUUGAGCGAUCCUAGGAGGAAGGACGGGCUAAGUUCGUGCCAGCCGCCGCAGUAACAC
rnacentral:rRNA from 1 species